GGGGGGCCAGCCGCGGAGGGAGGCGGAGACCCGGGCCCGCGGGCCUGCGGCGCCCCCGCCUCCGGCUCCGCGCUCCCAGGGCCGCCCCCACGCAGGGAGGGGGCGCGAGGGGGCGCCUGUGGCUCGGUUCGGACACCUUCUCCCGCCUCCUGCCGCGCAUCCCGGCCUCGGGCUCCGCGCAGCGUGACAGCUCCUCGGGUUUGGAGAGAAGGGUGACGGAAGGGUCAGAACCCUGGCGAGAACUCCCCACCGCCCACACUCACCUGAGGGCGGGCGGACGGGCGGAAAUAGAUGAGAAAACUGAGGCACAAAUCGGGGAAGAAACUAGUUCAGCAUAUACAGCUAGCAAGUCAUUCCAAGAGCGGACAGUUAAGAAGAUGCUGAACCAGGUCUGGAACCUAGAUCAGUCUGGCUCCAUGAGCCUGUUCAUACUUCUGUCCUUGGUGGAAGAAAGCUAGAAAAGGGGGACUUGUUGAGCCCCUGAGUAGAGAUUAGAGGAGCUUACAAUCAGCAUUUGACAAAUCUUCACUGAGCCUCUACUGUGUGCCAGGUCCUGGCACAGAAGGUUGCUGAUUCCAGGACAAAUCAGACCUUAUUCCUGACCUCCAGCUGCUUAGUCUCAAGAAGAGGAAAGGAAAAUAAAGAGACAAAUAUAAUACAGUGUGAAAAGUACAACAGUGGUCCAAUUUCAGUUCAUGAACUCAGAGCCAGAAGAGGGAAGUAGCCUUGAGAUAAUAUCUUAAGAUAAGACUUCCGGGUAACAGAAAUUAGCAAGAAUGAAAAAUAACCCAAGGAGCUUCCCCCACGUCCGCCAUCAGAACAGCUAAGCUCAAGACAAGUGACAACAUCAAGUGUUGGCCAGGAUGUGGAGCCCCUGGAACUCUCAUACACACCUGGUGGAGAUGCAAAAUGGUACAGGUACUUUGGAAAACUGCUUGGCAACUUUAAUAAACAAAGAUCGGCUUGAGGUCCAGAAAUUCCACUCAUAGGUAUGUCUCCGAGAGAAAUGAAAACAUGUCCACAAAAACUGUACGUAAAUUUUAACAGCUUUAUUCAUAAUAGUCCAAGCCGGAGACAACCUAACUAUCUACUCAAAUAGGAGUUUGAAUAAACAGUGUGGUAAAUCCAUAGUAUGGGAUACCACACAGUAAUCAAAGUGGAUGAAUGAUUGCUGCCCACAACACAGAAGAAAAAAAUCAUUAUGUUGAAUAAGAGAAACCAAAUGCAAAAAAAAAAAAAAGGUGAAUAUUAUAUAAUUCUACUUAUGUGAAAUUCAGUAACUGGCAAAACUAAUCUAUGGUUUUACAAGUGGUGACCUCUGGGGGAGAAGGGGGGAACAGGACUGUUUUUGACCUAGAAGGGGCAAUGGAAGCAGGUGUUAGAACAAUUCUACACUUUGAUCUUUGGGAUGGUGACACAGGUGUAUACAAAGGUAAAAUUUUUAAGUUUUUAAAAAAUGUUUAUUUCUUUUUGAUAGAGAGACAGAGAGCGAGCAUAAGCCGGGGAAGGGCAGAGAGAGAG